rnacentral:rRNA from 1 species
AUUGAACGCUGGCGGCAGGCCUAACACAUGCAAGUCGAACGGUAGCACAGACAGCCUGCUCUCGGGUGAAGCGCGGCGGACGGGGGAGUAAUGUCUGGGGCACUGCCCGAUGGAGAGGGAUACCUACUGGUAAUGGUAGCUAAUACUCCAUUACGUCCCAAGUCCAUAGUGGGGACCCUCCGGGCCGCACAUCAUCGGAAUUCCUUGGAGGGGAUUAGCUAGUAGGUGGGGUAAUGGCUCACCUAGGCGACGAUCAAUAGCUGGCCUGAGAGGAUGACCAGCCACACUGGAACUGAGACACGGUCCAGACUCCUACGGGAGGCAGCAGUGGGGAAUAUUGCACAAUGGGCGCAAGCCUGAUGCAGCCAUGCCGCGUGUAUGAUGAAGGCCUUCGGGUUGUAAAGUACUUUCAGCGGGGAGGAAGGCGGUGAAGUUAAUAACUUCACCGAUUGACGGUACCCGCAGAAGAAGCACCGGCUAACUCCGUGCCAGCCGCCGCCGUAA